ACGGAGAAGGCUAUGUCGGCCGGGCGACGGUUGUCCCGGUUUAAGCGUGUAGGCUGACUUUCCAGGCAAAUCCGGAAGGUUAAGGCUGAGGCGUGAUGACGAGGCACCACGGUGCUGAAGUGACAAAUGCCCUGCUUCCAGGAAAAGCCUCUAAGCAUCAGGUAACAUCAAAUCGUACCCCAAACCGACACAGGUGGUCAGGUAGAGAAUACCAAGGCGCUUGAGAGAACUCGGGUGAAGGAACUAGGCAAAAUGGUGCCGUAACUUCGGGAGAAGGCACGCUGACAUGUAGGUGAAGCCCCUGCGGGUGGAGCUGAAGUCAGUCGAAGAUACCAGCUGGCUGCAACUGUUUAUUAAAAACACAGCACUGUGCAAACACGAAAGUGGACGUAUACGGUGUGACGCCUGCCCGGUGCCGGAAGGUUAAUUGAUGGGGUUAUCGCAAGAGAAGCUCCUGAUCGAAGCCCCGGUAAACGGCGGCCGUAACUAUAACGGUCCUAAGGUAGCGAAAUUCCUUGUCGGGUAAGUUCCGACCUGCACGAAUGGCGUAAUGAUGGCCAGGCUGUCUCCACCCGAGACUCAGUGAAAUUGAACUCGCUGUGAAGAUGCAGUGUACCCGCGGCAAGACGGAAAGACCCCGUGAACCUUUACUACAGCUUGACACUGAACAUUGAGCCUUGAUGUGUAGGAUAGGUGGGAGGCUUUGAAGCGUGGACGCCAGUCUGCGUGGAGCCGACCUUGAAAUACCACCCUUUAAUGUUUGAUGUUCUAACCUGGCGCCGUGAUCCGGCGUGGGGACAGUGUCUGGUGGGUAGUUUGACUGGGGCGGUCUCCUCCCAAAGUGUAACGGAGGAGCACGAAGGUCAGCUAAUCCUGGUCGGACAUCAGGAGGUUAGUGCAAUGGCAUAAGCUGGCUUGACUGCGAGAGUGACGGCUCGAGCAGGUGCGAAAGCAGGUCAUAGUGAUCCGGUGGUUCUGUAUGGAAGGGCCAUCGCUCAACGGAUAAAAGGUACUCCGGGGAUAACAGGCUGAUACCGCCCAAGAGUUCAUAUCGACGGCGGUGUUUGGCACCUCGAUGUCGGCUCAUCACAUCCUGGGGCUGAAGUAGGUCCCAAGGGUAUGGCUGUUCGCCAUUUAAAGUGGUACGCGAGCUGGGUUUAGAACGUCGUGAGACAGUUCGGUCCCUAUCUGCCGUGGGCGCUGGAGAAUUGAGGGGGGCUGCUCCCAGUACGAGAGGACCGGAGUGGACGCAUCACUGGUGUUCGGGUUGUCAUGCCAAUGGCACUGCCCGGUAGCUAAAUGCGGAAGAGAUAAGUGCUGAAAGCAUCUAAGCACGAAACUUGCCCCGAGAUGAGUUCUCCCUGAGACUGUAAGUCUCCUGAAGGAACGUUGAAGACGACGACGUUGAUAGGCCGGGUGUGUAAGCGCAGCGAUGCGUUGAGCUAACCGGUACUAAUGAACCGUGAGGCUUAACCUUACAAC
rnacentral:rRNA from 1 species